GGCUGCCUGCGCCCGGACGGGAAAGCGCGGCGGGCCGACCCGACCCGCCGAAAGGGCCUGAGGCGGGGGGCGCCCGGGUCCCAGGGCCCUGGGGAAGGACCCCCAGCCGCACGCCGGCUCCAAGUGCAAAGCAUUGACACGGCCCCGAGAGGAGAGGGGGCGCCCUCCUCCCUCGCCCGGCGGCCCGGCCGCUCUGGCCCGCGCCCCAGCUUGGCCUCCGACCCCGCUCUCCGCUGCGGCGCCGCCCGGGGCCCCUGCACUCCGGCGGGGGCUGGAAAGAGACGCCGGUGGGCGGAGGUCCUGGAGCGGAACCCAGGUGGCGGGAGCCGGUGAGUGGAGCGGUGGUAGAACCCCGGCGGGGCCGGCGCGGGCGGGAGGGGGACGCGGCCUUGCACUCGGGAAACGCGGCUACCCCUGGCCCGCGCCUCCCCCUCACAGGAAGACUCGGGAGGAACGUGGAGUUCCCGGCAAGCCCUGAACUCAGCCCAGUAUCUGUCUGCGUCCCGGAUCCGGUCCUGAGCCCUCCGACGGCCCGGAGAACCGGUCCUCGGGGCUAGGAAGAUUGGAGACCCCGGGAACUGGAAGAACCGAACCACCUGCCUUGGAUGGCACAGAGAGCCAGGCUCAUACAGGAAUGUGCACCAACCUGUGUGUGUGAAAACGGCAGAAACAAUUCGACCUCUGUACAAAUUUCAUAUAUCAGAUCAGAAAGGACCAGAAGAGCAAUGCUGGAAGAAGUCCAUUUUUAAAUCAAGCCCCUUUACCUGUCAUCUUCGUCCUGCCCGGCCACCCCAGCCUUCAACCUUUCGAUAAACAGGACACGGCUUGCUAGGAGACACCCUUUCCUGAUUGCCAAGGAAUGUCUGAGCCCCUCACACAUCAUUAGGAGGUCAUUGAGCCGGGCCCCUGCCUUUUGCCUGGGAGCACAGGAGAUCAGUCAUCACUGCAGGGCCCAAUAAGGAGAAUUUCGAUGGGCUCCCCACUCAGAGCAGACCUGGAGGUGCCUCAGACAGAAGAGCUUUCCAAGUCAGGCUGACACUGGCAUUUCCCAGACAGGAUCCCAGAGACCUUUUCCUCCUCUGCUUUAAAACAGACACCAUCAAGAUUUCUACCCCUCCAAGUGGGAAGAGAAGAAUCAUUUUGCAGCUAGACUACAAUGAAAAUAUUCCCUGCAGGAUGCUCUGCCCUGCUUCUGAGGGUGGAGAGAAAAUUUAUACACGGCGCUCUGUUACAGGAUUCCUAUGGCAAGGCUCAGAAUACACCGCAAGACAAACUGUAUCCUCGGAAACCUAACAUCUCCUUUUUAUUCCAACAUCUCCCUGAAUGGAAAUAACUUCACAGAGCUGUAUCUCUAAACAAAAGUAAGCACACAAACUGGGCUUUCUAGAAUAGGCCCGCUCCCAAAUAAUUAGUCCUGCGAUCAGAUCAGAUAUCGGGGAAGGCAAGAGAACUAACAUUUAUUGUUUAUUGUGUGCCAGGCAUGGUCACUUUGCAAUACAUUACCUCACUGAAAUUACCCCAACAAGUCUGUGAGGUUGGUGGUGCUAACAUUCCCAUUUUACCGAUCAAGCAACUGAGGCCGAGAAAAGUAAAAUUUUGCUCAAGAUGAUGAUGUCAAGGCUACGAUCAAGAUUCUGAUUCUAGGUCCAAAGCCUGUACUUUCUCCACUAAAAUUCAUGCCGAAUUUUCAUUUUGAAAAUACGGCUGCAGGACCAGUAAGGGGGUUUCCAGUUGAGCCUUCCUACUGCAGAAUUUUUAAGUGGUUCUUGCAGUUGGGCAGUUGGGAGGCAGGACAAACAACCCAACCCAAAUCCUGUGUUUGUCUUAAAAGAGAUUUCAGUACUCUACAAAAAAGCCAAAUUUGAGGCUCUCAACUGAGGAGAACUUUGAAGUCUGAAACCUGGGGCUAAGAAGUCUUCUGUUUUUAUUAAUUAAAGAAGAUGUUUCAAAAUCAUGAGAUUUAUCACGAUGACUGGACUUCAGAUGUGAAACUCAAUAUACACACAGACAUGCAUGGCUUGUCCUUUUGGGUUAUUUUUGAUCUUCCCUGAGGAUCUGCAUUUCCUCAGAUGAGACCUCUCUGCUUCCUGGGCUGGCUGACAUGUCUGGAGGCCCAAUUUUGCAGGCCUGGGCCGCUGCUGGCCUCAGGAAUUUCAAAGGCCAGGGAGAGAAGGGUGGGCAAGGUGGUUCCUACCCCCGUUUGUUCCUCUAUGCCCCCAAGGCAGUAGCUGUGGGAAAGAAGGGAGGAACCCACUCUGAGCCGAAGGAGGGUCCUGGAUGCGCCUGCAGGUCCCGGAGUUGACUGGUUUGACGCCCUGCCAAGUUUUGGUUUUGUUAUUUUGGUAGUCAUCUAACCACGUGGGCUUUAAAAUGGUGCUCCCAGCUUGGGCGAGAGACAUGUCCAUUUGUAGCAUGUGGUCAGCCUUCCGUUUCUCGCGGCCAUCAAAACCUAUCAGCUCUCACUCCAAGGGGCAAACCUGAACCAGAUUUUCAGCCACAGGGGUCUUGGGAGGAAGAUUUGUGCCUGGCCUGCCAUUCUGACACAGGGUAUAUUAUAUAACAGGAUUCCUACUUUCCAGGCCCUUACAACAAAGCUGUUCAGCAAAGCCUUGGCCUCAGGGCCUAAGAGGAGCAAGAUAAGAAACAGCACUGUUUGGACAAUGGGGGACACCCACUGAAGCUGGGGUGGUUUGGGACGGUUUCCAUCAGUCAUCGUGGUUCGACGUGGGUGGAGGACAUUCCACAGUAGGGGGGAUGUCUGAGGACAAACACGAAGGCAGGGAUGUUCCUCAAGCAGAGGCAGGAGGUGGAGUCCACUGGAGUGGAGGGUCCCUCCUGAAGAAUAAUACCUCACGAGGUUUCUCAGAAUCGGUGCCUAUUUUCACAUACUUAUUUCCUUUUGACGGUGGGACCACAGCAAUUUGUACCAUGGGCAGGACAGAUACUGUUGGUUCCAUUCUGUAGAUGAGGAUCCUGAGGCCCCCGAUGGGGAAAUGACUUGCCUCAUUCACCUUCGUUUCUUUACUUUUUUUCUCUUUACUGAAGUAUAGUUGACUGUCACCUUAGUUUUUUGCCUCCCAGGGUAGUUGUGGAACCAUCUGUGAAGGUCCUCAGUGAACAAACUGGCACUACAGAAAUAUCAUGGCGGCCUGAGGCAGGCACCGAAAUGGGAUCGCAGGGUAGACUGGUGACUUACUUUGCUGAGAUCCUAACUAGUGCUGGCUUGGGCCCCAUUGUCCUACAAGGACUUCCUUGACUUUUGGCCUCAUUUCCUGGCCUUGCGGCCCGUGAGGGUGGGCGUGGGGGUGGGGUUCAACACGGUUAUCACUUGACCUUAUCACACAAGGUGUGUCCAUGGCUUGUUCCACACCUGAAACAGUGGGGGUGCCUGGGAAUUGUCAUUUCCUGCCUCGACAUGUCCAAGUGUUUGUUUAGCCUUGACUGGUCCCACUGACUCAUCAUCAGCCCGGGCAUGGAAACCAGGGAGGAUGUAGGGAAAAGUGGAGAAGCUGUAGGAACACACAGUGGGAUCAAUGAGGUGUAGAAAUCCUAACAAUGACAAUAAUCCCUUACACUGCACCCUGCUUUACCCUUUACAAGGUGCUUUCACUGCCUUAAUCCUCACAACACCCUUAGAGAGGAAGGCAAGGCAACUCUUACAAGUCCUGGUCUCACAGCUGAGGAAGUGAGUGCAGGGAGUUACAUGAGGGGCAGAGAUGAGUUUGGAGAACCCAGUCCCGCGUGCUACACCUCUGCUAGUCCAAGUGUGGGCCACUGGCCGGCACAGCAGUGUCACCUGGAAGCCUGGGAGAAAUGUAGCCCCUUGCAGGCCCUGCCCCGGGCUUAAUAAAGCAGAAUGUGCACUUAAAUCACUUCCCAGGGGGUCGUGUGCACACUAGAGUUGGAGAGAGCAGCUCAUGCUGUAUUCCCCUCACCCUUCCGGUGAGUAUAUCUGGCUCUCUCUACUCAUUUAAAGACCAGGAAAUUGAGGCCCAGGGAGAGGAUGGGACACGGCCUGUGACAGAAGCAGGAGCAAACAGAACCUUGGUCUUGCAAAGCAGUCCUGGGCCCGCUUAAUCGGGCUGACAUUCAACUGCUGUGCGCCUUGCUUUUCCUCCUCCCUCCCUGCCCCACAAGUUCAACCCUCAAACCACUCUCAGCUGCCAGGCCCUUGGCCUCUCCCCUCAGUUCCCGCCCCGUGUUAAGUGUUAACACAAGUUCUAGGGCCUACGGUUAACACUCUAUUAAAGCAAACAGGGAAGCUGAGACCUCCUGCAACCGGGGAAGAGCCAAGUGGGGGUGCGGAGCACCUGGGGGCCCCCUGGCACAGCUGCCGAGGGGCAGGCCUGAGCUCAGCUGUGUCUGCCCUGCCCCCCGCUCGGAGGCCCUACUGCCUUCGGGAGAGGGCCAGGGACGCCCUGCUUACCUGGGGAGGAGACGCUGCAGACGCCUUGUAAAAUGCCCACUUCAUUAGUAAGUGUGGAAAAUGCCCAAAUAACUGUGUUAAGCUGGUUAUGAUUUUCCCUGCACUCACUGGUCUCCCUGGGUGCCAAGUUUGGCACCUGUGGGUAAAAGCGAUUCCUAGGCCAUGGCUGGAGCUUGGGGCCAGGAUUCCCCCUCCUCCCCCCCACCCCCCAUUUCUACUCCAUCGAGGCCAAUCAGGAUGUUAUUCAUUUCCCUAGCUGAGACGCAAGUUCAAAGGGGCCAGGAGAGCUCCUUGGCCUGCCCCUGUGUGAGAAAUGCCAAUCUUUCCCAUGAGGAGGAAGCAACAUAUUUUGUUUCUGCUACACUCAUGCAAGGAGCAGCCCAGAAUGAGUGUGUGUGUGUGUGUGUGUGUGCGUGCGCACGCAGAAACCUAGCUUUUUAUCUUUGGACCUAUGGUACAUAAUGGAUUCAGAGGAAGAUCAGAGUCAUCCAUAAGGAGAGAGGCAAAAAAAAGCCAAGGCGCCAAGAGGUCCCUCGCAGGGGCCUGGAAACCUCAUGUUACUAUCUCAGACAGACACGGACCUGUCAUCCAACCUUGAGUUAGGGCUAACAGCUGAACAAAAGAAUUUCUCAUUGCGCUUCAUUUGAGUUUUAGAAAUGCAUUUAGGGUUGAAAAGCUACUUAGAAGAGCUUUCUCACAUCCCUCAGACUGUUUAAAAAAAAAAAAAAGUAAAUAAAAACCAAGUGUAUUUGUUGUAGAAACACCUACCAAAUAGCUCAAAAUGAACUUGCAAAUUCACCAAAACUCUCCUGGGCAAGCCAUUAACCCUUUCUGGACUGGACCCCCCUUUAAAAUAAAGAGGCCUGGAUAAGACCACUGUAAUCUUCAAAAGUAGGAAGUGACUCUUCUGUUGUCAAGAUCCAAAAUGGGUGGUGGUGCCCCAUUUACUGAGUGAACCAUCCCCCCUCCUUCUCGCCCUGCCUGUGGGGUCCACCUUCAAGGCCCAGCGGCAGUGGGCCUGUGCUCCGACUCUAGCUGCAAUCCCUUCCCUCCAUUUAGUACCUUCUUAUAUCUUAUUUUAAAGACCAUUGUGAGAUGGGGGUAGGGGGCAGAUCUCUUGGACAAAUGAGGUGGUUAUAAGGUCACUGAGCUCUCUAUUGGUAGAAAGAACACUUGAUUAAGAAGGGGAAACUGAGCGCUAGUUCUGGUGCUGGUGUGUUCUAGCAAGUCACCUCCUGGCCCCUCAGUUUUCUGCACUAUAAAAGAGGAAUAAUAACGCUAGUUAUUAGGGGCACCUGGGUGUUACAGUCGGUUAAGCAUCUGACCUAGGUUUCAGCUCAGGUUAUGAUCUCAGCAUCGUGGGAUCGAGCACCACGUCAGGCUCUGAGCUCAGCGUAGAGUCUGCUUGAGAUUCUCUCUCCCUCUCCCUCUGCCCCUCCUGCUCAUGCUCUUUCUCUCUAAAAAUAAAUAAAUAAAGCUUUAAAACAAUAAUAAUGCUACUUAUUAUUACUGCUAGUUAUUUAUAAUCCUCAAAAUCAUGCUAAGAUUCAAAUGACAACAUGCAUGAUAGAGCCUUUAAGACUAUGCUGUGUAACGGGUAUGUAAAGUAUUGAUUUUACCCUUAGAAGCCAGAUGGCUUUAUAUUGGUGGGUCUCACCAUUUCCCUCCAGAUCCUUUGAGACUUAAGGAUACUAUUUAAGCUGUUUGGCUUCUGGAGGUAUGGGAAUGUCCACACAGCCCAGCACACCGCUCAACCCUAAAAUGGGAAUGUGAAGUUACCCAUCGUGUCUUCACUGGAGCUUUAAUGCUGCACAAGACACUUAACUGCUACCCUUCAGGGUCAAACAGAGCUUACCCUGAACUUAUUCUGAUGUCCCAGAGAUAUCGAAGGACCAACAGCCUGCAGCACAGAUCUUGCCACAUAAUAGGUGCCUAAUGGGGGUGCCUGGGUGGCUCAGUCGGUUGAACGUCUGACUCUUGAUUUCAGCUGGGGUCCUGGUCUCGGGGUUGUGGGAUCGAGCCCCGCGUCAAGUCCCACGCUCAGCGCAGAGUCUGCUUGUCCCACUCCCUUGUCCUCUGCCCCUUCCCCUGCUCACACACUCUCUCUAAAGUAAAUAAAUAAAAUCUUAAAAAAAAAAA